GAUGAAGAACGCAGCGAAAUGCGAUAAGUAAUGUGAAUUGCAGAAUUCAGUGAAUCAUCGAAUCUUUGAACGCACAUUGCGCCCGCCAGUAUUCUGGCGGGCAUGCCUGUUCGAGCGUCAUUACAACCCUCAGGCCCCCGGGCCUGGCGUUGGGGAUCGGCGGAAGCCCCCUGCGGGCACAACGCCGUCCCCCAAAUACAGUGGCGGUCCCGCCGCAGCUUCCAUUGCGUAGUAGCUAACACCUCGCAACUGGAGAGCGGGGCGGCCACGCCGUAAAACACCCAACUUCUGAAUGUUGACCUCGAAUCAGGUAGGAAUACCCGCUGAACUUAAGCAUAUCAAUAAGCGGAGGA
rnacentral:misc_RNA from 1 species